rnacentral:rRNA from 1 species
AAUAUUGGACAAUGGGGGCAACCCUGAUCCAGCCAUGCCGCGUGUGUGAUGAAGGNCUNNGGAUUNUNAAGCACUUUAAGUUGNNNNNAAGGGCUUUAGNUUAAUACCCUGAAGUUUUGACGUUACCAACAGAAUAAGCACCGGCUAACUCUGUGCCAGCAGCCGCGAAAAUACAGAGGGUGCAAGCGUUAAUCGGAAUUACUGGGCGUAAAGCGACCGUAGGUGGUUCAGUAAGAUGGGUUUUAAAUCCCCGGGCUUAACCUGGGAACUGCUUUCAUAACUGCUGAGCUAGAGUACGGUAGAAGGUAGUGGAAUUUCCUGUGUAGCGGUGAAAUGCGUAGAUAUAGGAAGGAACACCAGUGGAGAAGGCGACUACCUGGACUGAUACUGACACUGAGGUGCGAAAGCGUGGGGAGCAAACA